GAGCAGACACAUUCUAGCCAAUCAGCAGCAGACCCUCCCUCCCAGACCCUCCCACCUCCUGGACAGCAUCCAUUUUACAUUCAUUGUGAAGCUGCAUUCUUAGUGAGCUGUCCAGGAGGUGGGAGGGUCUGGGAGGGAGGGUCUGCUGCUGAUUGGCUGGAAUGUGUCUGCUG
rnacentral:miRNA from 1 species